rnacentral:rRNA from 1 species
UACAGAGGUCUCAAGCGUUGUUCGGAUUCAUUGGGCGUAAAGGGUGCGUAGGUGGCGCCGUAAGUCAGGUGUGAAAUCUCGGGGCUCAACCCCGAAACUGCACUUGAUACUGCGGUGCUCGAGUACUGGAGAGGAGAUUGGAAUUUACGGUGUAGCAGUGAAAUGCGUAGAUAUCGUAAGGAAGACCAGUGGCGAAGGCGAAUCUCUGGACAGUUACUGACACUGAGGCACGAAGGCCAGGGGAGCAAGCGGG